AUUUUGCAGGUAUGUUCUGUUUCAUACUUACAAAAUAAGUGACAUGGUGCCUAGAUAUUCAACUCAUAAUUUGUCAUUACUUUCCACUUCGUUUAUACAUAUGUUGGUUUGAGCAAUGCAUUAGAAUUAAUCACAAAUUAAUUUUCUUAAGAUUUCAUUUUCCAUUGCUUGUUUGGUAUUAAGAUGAUGACUGACAUAGGCAGAUAACAAGUUAACAAUGACAUCAAGUUGUAGGUAGCUGCGACAUCAAUGGAUGGAGGGUACACCUGAUGUAGCGGACUUCGUCGUCUCAUCGACAAGCUCACUUGUGACAGUACACCAGCUGCAGCUCUGGGAGGGACGGUGUGCAUCGGAUGGGACCCGGCACGGCACGCGGCCGAUGAGGAAGAGGACCAGCGGACGGGGCUUGACAAGGUGUCGCUGGCUGCCAUGCUGGUGUCCAGAUUCAGGGCAGAGUGCGUGGCGGCACAAAGAAGGUUGGGAAGGAUUGCGUGAUAUACCUGUGCACCAUGCAGGAUGGAUCCGGCAUGGCGGCCGGGCCGACAAGGAAGAGGACCAGUGAAGGGGUGCUCGACAAGGCGGCGCUGGCACCAAUGCCGGUGCUCAUAUUCAAGGCAGGGGCAAGGCGGAGGCCCGCGAUGGCGCAAAGGUUGGUAGCUGCUACAUACGUGUUGCUUUAUGAUCUUGCCUUCUUGGAAGCGUGGGUGUUGCUUCAAUUGGAACUAAUAUUUUUUUGCCAUGACUUCUAGAUUGUCAUACUACUUGACUUUUGCAUCAGUGAUAUUUGAAGUUAUUCAAAUGAAUUUGUAAUUAAGUUCG